GCGGCGGACGGGUGAGUAACGCGUGGGUAACCUACCCCAAAGUCCGGGAUAACAGCGGGAAACCGCUGCUAAUACCGGAUGCCUUUACCUUGGGGCAUCCUGAGGUAAAGAAAGGUAACGCUUUGGGAUGGGCCCGCGUCCCAUUAGCUAGUUGGUGAGGUAACGGCUCACCAAGGCGACGAUGGGUAGCCGGCCUGAGAGGGUGGACGGCCACACUGGGACUGAGACACGGCCCAGACUCCUACGGGAGGCAGCAGUAGGGAAUAUUGCGCAAUGGACGGAAGUCUGACGCGGCGACGCCGCGUGAGCGAUGAAGGUCUUCGGAUCGUAAAGCUCUGUCCUUGGGGAAGAAGGCGAAAGCUUGACGGUACCCAAGAAGAAAGCCCCGGCUAACUACGUGCCAGCAGCCGCGGUAAUACGUAGGGGGCGAGCGUUGUCCGGAAUUACUGGGCGUAAAGGGUGCGUAGGCGGCCCUUUAAGUCGGAUGUGAAAGCCCGCG
rnacentral:rRNA from 1 species